GACGAACGCUGGCGGCGUGCUUAACACAUGCAAGUCGAACGGAAAGGCCCUGCUUUUGUGGGGUUCUCGAGUGGCGAACGGGUGAGUAACACGUGAGUAACCUGCCCUUGACUUUGGGAUAACUUCAGGAAACUGGGGCUAAUACCGGAUAUGAUCUCCUGCUGCAUGGUGGUGGUUGGAAAGUUUCGGCGGUUGGGGAUGGACUCGCGGCUUAUCAGCUUGUUGGUGGGGUAGUGGCUUACCAAGGCUUUGACGGGUAGCCGGCCUGAGAGGGUGACCGGCCACAUUGGGACUGAGAUACGGCCCAGACUCCUACGGGAGGCAGCAGUGGGGAAUAUUGAACAAUGGGCGGAAGCCUGAUGCAGCAACGCCGCGUGCGGGAUGACGGCCUUCGGGUUGUAAACCGCUUUCGCCUGUGACGAAGCGUGAGUGACGGUAAUGGGUAAAGAAGCACCGGCUAACUACGUG
rnacentral:rRNA from 1 species